rnacentral:rRNA from 1 species
CCAACAGGGAUUGCCCCAGUAACGGCGAGUGAAGCGGCAACAGCUCAAAUUUGAAAUCUGGCCCCUUGGGGCCCGAGUUGUAAUUUGCAGAGGAUACUUUUGGCGAGGCGCCUUCCGAGUUCCCUGGAACGGGACGCCAUAGAGGGUGAGAGCCCCGUCUGGUUGGAUGCCGAGCCUCUGUAAAGUUCCUUCGACGAGUCGAGUAGUUUGGGAAUGCUGCUCUAAAUGGGAGGUAUAUGUCUUCUAAAGCUAAAUAUUGGCCAGAGACCGAUAGCGCACAAGUAGAGUGAUCGAAAGAUGAAAAGCACUUUGGAAAGAGGGUUAAAAAGCACGUGAAAUUGUUGAAAGGGAAGCGCUUGUGACCAGACGUGGGCCUGUCGGAUCAUCCAGCGUUCUCGGUGGUGCACUCCGGCGGGCUCAGGCCAGCAUCAGCUCGUCCCGGGGGACAAAGGCAGCGGGAAUGUGGCUCCUUCGGGAGUGUUAUAGCCCGCUGUGUAAUGCCCUGGGGCGGGCUGAGGUUCGCGCAUCUGCAUGGAUGCUGGCAUAAUGGUUAUCAGCGACCCGUCUUGAAACACGGACCAAGGAGUCGUCUUCGUAUGCGAGUGUUCGGGUGUCAAACCCCUACGCGUAAUGAAAGUGAACGCAGGUGAGAGCUUCGGCGCAUCAUCGACCGAUCCUGAUGUUCUCGGAUGGAUUUGAGUAAGAGCAUACGGGGCCGGACCCGAAAGAAGGUGAACUAUGCCUGUGUAGGGUGAAGCCAGAGGAAACUCUGGUGGAGGCUCGCAGCGGUUCUGACGUGCAAAUCGAUCGUCAAACAUGGGCAUGGGGGCGAAA